AUGAUCAAGUUACUGCGGCGCGUAGUGGAUACCUUGGCAAUACAAGUCGAUGAAGGACGCGAUUGGCUGCGAUAUGCCCCGGGGAGCUGUCAAAAUAGCUUUGAUCCGGGGAUUUCCGAAUGGGGCAACCCGGUCCGGUUAAUACCGGACCAUCCCGCAAGGGGAGACAACCCGCUGAACUGAAACAUCUAAGUAAGCGGAGGAAGAGAAAGUAACAACGAUUCCCGGAGUAGUGGCGAGCGAAACGGGAACAGCCCAAACCUUUCCGGUUUCCGGAGAGGGGUAGUGGGACCGCGAUAUGGGACCAGAAGGUUUAGUUGAAGCGAUCUGGAAAGAUCCGCCAAAGAAGGUGAUAGCCCUGUAAGCGAAAGGCCCGAUGGCUCUAGCGGUAUCCCAAGUACUGCGGGACACGAGAAAUCCCGUAGGAAUCAGGGAGGACCAUCUCCUAAGGCUAAAUACUCUGUAUUGACCGAUAGUGAACAAGUACCGUGAGGGAAAGGUGAAAAGAACCCAGGAAUGGGAGUGAAAUAGAACUUAAAACUGCGUGCCUACAAGCAGUCGGAGCCCAGCGCAAGCUGGGUGACGGCAUGCCUAUUGAAGAAUGAGCCGGCGACUUACAGUUAGUGGCAAGCUUAGGGUGUAGAGCCUGAGGCGCAGCGAAAGCGAGUCUGAAUAGGGCGUUUAGUCACUAGUUGUAGACCCGAAACCGAUAGCGAUCUAUCCUUGGGCAGGAUGAACUCAGAGUAAAAUCUGAGGGAGGUCCGAACCUAUUGAUGUUGAAAAAUCUCAGGAUGACCUGAGGAUAGCAGUGAAAAGCUAAACGAGCUCGGAGAUAGCUGGUUCUCCUCGAAAUGGUUUUAGGGCCAGCCUCAAGAUUAUCUGCGCAGGGGUAGAGUACAGUUUGGACUAGGGUCCCGAAAGGGAUUCCAAAUCCUCGCUAACUCCGAAUACUGCGCAGUCAUUGCUUGGGAGUGAGACUACGAGGGAUAAGCCUCGUGGUCAAAAGGGAAACAACCCAGACCGUCAGCUAAGGUUCCUAAAUGUCUGCUAAGUGGUAAAGGAAGUAGAGUCGCACAAACAGCCAGGAGGUUGGCUUAGAAGCAGCCACCCUUUAAAGAGUGCGUAACAGCUCACUGGUCGAGCGAUUUUGCGCCGAAAAUACACGGAGCUAAGCAGACUACCGAAGCUACGGAUGGUCUUCCGAUUUAUCGGGAGAUCGUGGUAGAGGAGCGUUCCAUUGUAGGUCGAAGUCGGGUCGCGAGACCCGGUGGACGAAUUGGAAGCGAAAAUGUCGGCAUAAGUAACGAAAAGACGGGUGGAAAUCCCGUCCGGCGAAAGUCUAAGGUUUCCUGGGCAAGGCUCGUCCUCCCAGGGUAAGUCGAUAUCUAAGCCGAGGCCGGGUUUAACCGGCGUAGGCGAUGGCAAAACGGUUAAUAUUCCGUUACCGCCUGUUUUGUUAACCAGAGGGACGCAGAAGGAUAACCCAUAGCGCUUAUUGGAUUGCGAAUCCCGAAGUAAAUUCGGGAGUAUUGGGUGACUCCACGCUGACGAGAAAAGCUCUGGGUAUUGGGGCAGGCGAUCGUACUACAAACCGACACAGGUGGACAGGCUGAAUAAGCCAAGCCGCGCGAGAUAACUCUCUCUAAGGAACUAGGCAAAAUGGUACCGUAACUUCGGGAGAAGGUACGAUCCGGUGAAUAGCCGGAUUCUCAGAAACCAGGCUUCCGCGACUGUUUAUCAAAAACACAGGUCUCUGCAAACCCGUAAGGGGAAGUAUAGGGGCUGAUGCCUGCCCAGUGCUGGAAGGUUAAGGGGUGGUUUGAGAUCAUAUCAAGGACCUAACCGAAGCCCCAGUGAACGGCGGCCGUAACUAUAACGGUCCUAAGGUAGCGAAAUUCCUUGUCGGGUAAGUUCCGACCCGCACGAAAGGCAUAACGAAGGAAGCGCUGUCUCGGAGAGAGACUCGGUGAAAUUGGGAUAACUGUGAAGACACGGUUUACCUGCAUCAGGACAGAAAGACCCCGUGGAGCUUUACUAUACCCUAAUUUUGGAUUUUGAUGUCGCUUGCGUAGCAUAGGUGGGAGUCUUUGAGGCUCUGGUUUCGGCUGGAGCGGAGACAACAGUGAAAUACCACCCUGGUUAUAUUAGGAUUCUAACCCUGGCUGUGAAGGCCGGGAGACAGAGUUAGGCGGGUAGUUUGACUGGGGCGGUCGCCUCCUAAAGAGUAACGGAGGCGUUCAAAGGUACUCUCAGCACGGUUGGAAAUCGUGCGUCGAGUGUAAAGGCAUAAGAGUGCUUGACUGCAAGACGUACAUGUCGAGCAGAGACGAAAGUCGGACUUAG
rnacentral:rRNA from 1 species